rnacentral:misc_RNA from 1 species
ACCAGUAACGGGGGCGGACCUUGAACAGAGACCAAUGCGAUUCCCCUGUGUUUCGCGGACUCGUUCUCUCCGCCCUGUCUGAUAUACCCCUGCUUUUUGCGUACCACUGUUUCCUCGGCGGGCUCGCCCGCCAGUAGGACCUUUUUAAACCUUUGCAGUGCAGUCAGCGUCAGAAAAAUAUAAUCGUUA